rnacentral:rRNA from 1 species
AGUAUCAUUAAGUGAAUACAUAGCUUAAUGAGGGGAACUCAGGGAACUGAAACAUCUAAGUACCUGAAGGAAGAGAAAGAAAUUCGAUUCCGUAAGUAGCGGCGAGCGAACGCGGAUUAGCCCAAACCAAUAAAGUUUUCUUUAUUGGGGUUGCGGACAUAUCAUAACGAAGAGGUAUCGUAAUUGAAGAGGUUUGGAAAGACCCACCACAGAAGGUAAUAGUCCUGUAUGUUAAACGAGAAGACUUUAGAUAUGAUCCAGAGUACCACGGGACACGUGAAACCCUGUGGGAAGCAGGAGGGACCACCCUCCAAGGCUAAAUACUACCUAGUGACCGAUAGCGUAUAGUACCGUGAGGGAAAGGUGAAAAGAACCCCGGGAGGGGAGUGAAAUAGAACCUGAAACCCUGCACUUACAAGCUGUGGCAGCCCAUUUAUUGUGUGACCGCGUACUUUUUGUAGAACGGACCAACGAGUUACGUUAAGUAGCAAGGUUAAGCACAUACGGUGCGGAGCCGUAGCGAAAGCACGUUUUAACUGAGCGUUCAGUUACUUGACGUAGACACGAAUCCGGGUGACCUACCCAGGAGCAGGAUGAGGAGAAAGUAAAAUGUCGUGGAUGUCCGAACCCACGAGCGUUGAAAAGCUCGGGGAUGACUUGUGGGUAGUGGUGAAAUUCCAAUCGAGCCCGGAGAUAGCUGGUUCUCCCCGAAAUAGCUUUAGGGCUAGCCUCAAGGUGAGAGA